UCAAUUCUUGAAAAGGUAAUGAAUUCUGCUGGUUUUGUCUCUUGUCAGUUCUCUGGAAUAAUGUCAAAAUAAGGAAAUUUUAGACACAAAGAAAAUUCAUGCUGACUUGAGAAUCAGGACAAUUAAAUUGGUUUAGUGAACUUGGUUUUAUGGGAUUCUUAAAUUCUGGGCAAGGUUGGGAACUUUGGGUAUUUGGAAGUGAAUAAGACUGUAGCGGACUUGAAUUACUGGUAUAAUGUGUUCGCUGCUAUAAUUGUUUUGGUUUAAGAUGAAGAGUAGCAAUGUUACGGAAUUGGUUUCUAAAGAAAGAGAUGCUCGAAAGAUUAAGCAUAAGUAAACGGCGAAUGGGA
rnacentral:lncRNA from 1 species